rnacentral:tRNA from 1 species
GCCUUCGUGGUGUAACGGUAGCACACUCGGCGUGUAUUCGAGAGGUUCAGGUUCGAGUCCCGGCGAGGGCA